rfam:Capsicum annuum cultivar Zunla-1 chromosome 8, whole genome shotgun sequence
UAAUGAUGGUGAGGGAAAUUUUUAAUCAUACGCUUAAAUCUCUCCCAGGCUUGGUAGAGAUUCUCUCCGUCUUUCUACCUUAAACUCAAGAUCUCACCCCUCAAGCG